UCACGAGUCACCUCUGUGUUUUCCAUGUGCCUUAGCACUUUCUAGGAGGAUCAACCCGGGCAGAGAGGUGAAAUUGAGUGGUCUGUAGUUUUCUGGGAUUCCUAUUUUCCCUUUUUAAAAAUGGAGUUUAUGUUUCCACUUUUCCUGUCACUGGAACAAUGGUUGUGCCCUUAUGAUUAGAGUGUUUCAGCAGAACAGCAAGCAAUGGGGCUUCUAUCUUACCAUGGUUUCUUACUAACAGGUGAGCAGUGUAGGAGAAACAUACGGUGUCCUUAGAGGCAGGUUAUUCAUGCCUCUUAUUCAGACAGCUGGCUAACUUCCUUCAGUAUGCCUCAUCUCACAAACCCAG